GACAGUGGAGGAUGGUCUGGGAUUCGCCUCCGUGCAUGGGUCCAAACUUGACCUGUGGUCAAGGGUGUCUGGUACCAAGGGAUAUGCAAGAUGGGCGCAAAGCCAAGCCAUUGAUAUCGGGACAAUCGGUACACUGCCGGUGCCGGCCUCAUUGCCAACAAUUUGUUGUAUAGAUGGUGUAACUGCCAUUGUGAGGGGGAAGGAUCAGACAUAUGUCAUUAUUCAUUUGAAAACUGGACAGAUUAGGAAGAUACCUCAGGACCGUGUCAUUUACCCUGUUGUUCCGUACACGAGCUUCUACACUCCAGCACUUGGACCUGCCUCUACAUGUGAGGGACCAAGAGAAGGUUCUUCAAGUCCAUGAAGGCGUAGGUGAUGCAAGGUCUUCUAAAUCAAGAAUGAAGAGUCUAGUUGUGAUGGUAGACGACAAUAGUGAGGUAGUAUUUCUGGUCGCAUAACUCUUUAGAACCUGUUAUUUUUCAGCUGAGCCUGUUCUGCUAGACUUCAUGCUUUGGCUAGCAUCUACUUCAUGGAGAGAAGUUGCAUGUUGUUUUGCCUUACCUCCACCGUGUAUAGUUUUCUAUCUACUCUUGAAGGCAGCUCCAGGCUGUGGGGAUCUCUCUGCUGCAUCUUUACUUGUUUGUUACUUUGUUUCUUCUACUGCUAUGGUAAAUCGGUGGUGUUCGGUGCCUGUUUUUUAGGGGGAGAGGCAGACUGCCUGUUAUAUUGAUUGAUGCCUGUUAUAUGGGUCUUUUGAACCUUCUGAUAAUUCUAUAUAUAUGUGGGAUGCUUCUGUUA